rnacentral:rRNA from 1 species
UCGAACGAGUUCUCGUUGAUGAUCGGUGCUUGCACCGAGAUUCAACAUGGAACGAGUGGCGGACGGGUGAGUAACACGUGGGUAACCUGCCCUUAAGUGGGGGAUAACAUUUGGAAACAGAUGCUAAUACCGCAUAGAUCCAAGAACCGCAUGGUUCUUGGCUGAAAGAUGGCGUAAGCUAUCGCUUUUGGAUGGACCCGCGGCGUAUUAGCUAGUUGGUGAGGUAAUGGCUCACCAAGGCGAUGAUACGUAGCCGAACUGAGAGGUUGAUCGGCCACAUUGGGACUGAGACACGGCCCAAACUCCUACGGGAGGCAGCAGUAGGGAAUCUUCCACAAUGGACGCAAGUCUGAUGGAGCAACGCCGCGUGAGUGAAGAAGGCUUUCGGGUCGUAAAACUCUGUUGUUGGAGAAGAAUGGUCGGCAGAGUAACUGUUGUCGGCGUGACGGUAUCCAACCAGAAAGCCACGGCUAACUACGUGCCAGCAGCCGCGGUAAUACGUAGGUGGCAAGCGUUAUCCGGAUUUAUUGGGCGUAAAGCGAGCGCAGGCGGUUUUUUAAGUCUGAUGUGAAAGCCCUCGGCUUAACCGAGGAAGCGCAUCGGAAACUGGGAAACUUGAGUGCAGAAGAGGACAGUGGAACUCCUGGUGUAGCGGUGAAAUGCGUAGUUAUAUGGAAGAACACCGGUGGCGAAGGCGGCUGUCUGGUCUGUAACUGACGCUGAGGCUCGAAAGCAUGGGUAGCGAACAGGAUUAGAUACCCUGGUAGUCCAUGCCGUAAACGAGAAUGCA